rnacentral:rRNA from 1 species
CCUACGGGAGGCAGCAGUGAGGAAUUUUGGUCAAUGGUCGGGAGACUGAACCAGCCAAGCCGCGUGAGGGAGGAAGGUACAGAGUAUCGUAAACCUCUUUUGUCAGGGAACAAAGACUGGGACGCGUCCCCGGAUGAGUGUACCUGAAGAAAAAGCAUCGGCAAACCCCGUGCCAGCAGCCGCGGUAAUACGGCGGAGGCGAUGGUUAUCCGGAUUUUGUGGGUUUAAAGGGUGCGCAGGCGGUCUGUUAAGUCAGCGGUCAAACCCCGGGGCACCACCCCGGCCCGCCGUUGAAACUGGCAGUCUAGAGUUGGAGAGAAGUAUGCGGAAGGCGCGGUGUAGCGGUGAAAUGCA